UGUGUGGUCUCCACUGAGGCAAAAAACCGGGGCAGACGGGUGGCUGAGGCCACGGCCACAAGGCAGGGUUGAGGUUCACAUUUUGAAGACCGUGGGGCACAGAACUGCUGUAGAGAUGGGAGCAAAGCUGGACCCUCAGUCCCAAAGGCCAGCGAGCAGGCACCAGCUCCGCAAUCGGGAAGAAGGAAACAGACCUUCAGGAAAUGGAAGUCUUAGGCAUCCCUGCCGCCUCGGCUCUCCUCCCUCAGCAUAUAAAUCAGCCUGAACCCUGCCGCUGUGCUCUUCAGACACUGUGUCAUCUGCUUCCGGUGCAGAACACAGGGAGACGGCUGGCAUGCCUGGGGAGUGGCUGGCCCUGCUCUGCAGAUGCCCGAGACAAUGCACGCCAGUUAUUUUCCUCAGCUCUUCCCAGCACCGGGAUCAGGGGGCUGGCCAGGCCCUUCUGUCUCCGUCUGAAGAUGCGGAUCUGUGGGCUGAAGUGGCGCCCUGCCUCCCUGGCUGCGGGCAGUGCAGACAGAACCAUCUGGAGGCCGAGUGAGGAGCUGCCAGGGCCUGGGUGCUCAGCCCAGGCCGGGCUGCAUGCAGCCCUGUCCAGCCAGCCAGAUGAGGGCGGGAGAAGCUGAGGGCCUCUGCUUCAUGAACGUGCCUAGAUGUCACACAGCCCGGUUAGAGAGGACAGCGCUCUGCGGAACGAACAACUCAGCACUUCCUGCUCUUCCCACGGCUGGACAGUGUUAGGCUCAGGUUCCCCCAUGAUACCUGAGAAUCACUGCUUGCUUUUGCAAGGAUCACACGGUGAACUGCGGAUUCAUCAGAGGAUUAAUUCACGGAGGAGUACAGCGCCCUCAUGACCAAUCCCUGUCUGAAAGUCUCCUCUGUGAACACAGGAGAAUUUGGGGGGACACUCCAGAUCUCAAACAUCGCAUCACGUCAUUUGAUCUGGCCCUGACCCUACCAGGGAGGGGGUUAUCAUCACCCUAUUUAUGCAGCAGAGAAAAUUCAGAUUCACCUGUGCAAAUACAGGGCUUGCUGGACCAGCCAUGAGGACCGCAAGGCAGCAGGGGACGGACGCGGCAUCGCACGAGGCACUGAUGGAAUGGGAGCCGCGCCGGGGCGAUUUAAGGUUUCCCCAUGGGUCCCGUGCUUGGAGGAAGCCAGCUCUGGCGUUUCCUUUCAGAUGCACGGACACCAUCCCCGGCAGGUGGCGCCUGCGAUGCCUGAGCGCCGCCCUGCAGCCCAGCCCCGCUCAGGCUGCUCCCGUGUCCUCUGCCGCUCUCCCUUCCUGGGUCACGGAGGCCACGUACUCCACAAGUUACUUAACACGUCCCCUCCAGGCACCUUCCUCUGGGCUCUGAGAGCCCUCCGGUGUUUUACCUGCACCUGGACACCCUGCUCACUGGAGUUUUCCGGAGAGCAUGAGGGGAAAUGGAAUUGCAUUUCUUGACAAUACUGUCUCUUUGAGGCCUUAAGGCUGACCUCUUCCUUUGCUGCGGAGGCACUGUUGAGAAGAUGAAAUGAAGUAAUGCACGCGAGGUGCCCAGUGUGCACGUGUGACUGUUUACAGGAUCUGUGACUACUUAUGUGUACGGUGACGUUUUACUAUCCACGGUUUCCAUUCACAUGCCUACAUUUUCCUCUACCGAACUGUAAACUCCUCAGGGGGAGGAGCGGGGGCGGUGAAUUCUGGAGUCUUCCACAGGCCCUGGAACGAUGACUCAGGACUGUAGAUAGUCCCUAAAUGAAUGGGGGAGGGAGAAGGAUGAAUAACUGGCGAGAGCAUUUUAAAUCUCAUCACAGUAUACAGCCCAGAAGUGAAGCGGGGGAAGAGAAGGACAAGGAGCCAAAAAUCCUCUGUUCUAACCCCUACGUGGAAGCAGCCUUAUCAUAGCACGGUAUUGCUCUCUUUCUGUUACUGAUUUCUGAUUUAAUUCCACUCUAAUUUAAUUGCACUGGGUGGUUUUGCUAUUUGAAGCUUUUGGGUCUUCCUACUCUUGGACUAGUAUUUAAUUUCUCUCUACCUGCACAGCAGCUGACAGUGUCUCUCCAUCCUACAAGAUCUUUAUAAGCAGGCACAGACGCUCUGGCGUGGAGACUUUAACUGUCACUGUCACCCUCACAAUUAGCCCCUGCUGGUCACCUGUCCGUCUUGAGGCAGUCUGUUGUGAUGGUGGAGGACAAGUUUUAGAAAAUUGCUUUCUACUGUAAGUCUGGAGUUGCCUUCAUUUAAGUUGCCUUCACAAAGCAUGGGCUUCCUUCCUUCCUUCGUGUUUGCUGCUUUAUUUCAUUGAUCAGAUGGGUUAUUGCAUUUCCUAAUGGCCAGGUACUGUGGGAGGCGCUAGGGACAGAGGCCAGAAACAAGUAUAAGCACAGAUGUACAAGGUGACCCACACCACCUGUCUCUGACCACAGCCAAGCCUGUGUGGAGGAAGAGAAGAAGGAGGAGGAAGUGGGCGGGGAAGAGGAGGAGGAAGAGGAGGAGGAGGAGGAGGAGGAGGAGGAGGAGAAGGAGGACAGAUUCUAUUAAGUGGGAGUCAGAAGACCAGGGGUCGAGUUACAGCUUGGCCAUCCGUCCAAGACUCAGUUUUCUUUCCUGUAAAAUGCAUCCUAUCUGUCUCUCAGGGUCACUGUGAGGAGAAUAAAACAAGACAGUA